UACGAAGGGGGCUAGCGUUGUUCGGAAUUACUGGGCGUAAAGCGCACGUAGGCGGAUCGGUCAGUUAGGGGUGAAAUCCCAGAGCUCAACUCUGGAACUGCCUUUAAUACUGCCGAUCUGGAGUUCGGAAGAGGUGAGUGGAAUUCCGAGUGUAGAGGUGAAAUUCGUAGAUAUUCGGAGGAACACCAGUGGCGAAGGCGGCUCACUGGUCCGGUACUGACGCUGAGGUGCGAAAGUGUGGGGAGCAAACAGG
rnacentral:rRNA from 1 species